rnacentral:sRNA from 1 species
GGAUGUCUGAGUGACCUGCCUAUGACAGCUGUCCCCACUGAUCCCUUGAAAUGAGUCACUUAAUCUGGCCAGAGGGACAGCUGCGUGAGUCCUCACUGCUCCAUGUACACCUAUCUUGAACUAUUCCCUCAAUUAAGGAGGAUAACAGUUCUUUAGCUAAGAAAGUGGGAGUCCUACUUCUUUGGGGGUCUAGCUCAAAAGUUGCUUUUCCAAUGAAACCUUUCCUGAAGUUUCGUCUAUAAUAGGAAACUGCAUUUAGUGAAUAUUUGUAGGUUC